rnacentral:rRNA from 1 species
AACGAACGCUGGCGGCGUGCCUAACACAUGCAAGUCGAGCGGGAAAGCCCGCAAGGGUGAGUACAGCGGCGCACGGGUGCGUAACACGUGGGUAAUCUGCCCUGAAGCUCGGGAUAACUCGCCGAAAGGCGUGCUAAUACCGGAUAAGACCACGGGAGCCUCGGCUCCUGCGGGAAAAGGUGGCCUCUGUAUACAAGCUAUCACUUCAGGAUGAGCCCGCGGCCCAUCAGCUCGUUGGCGGGGUAAUGGCCCACCAAGGCUACGACGGGUAGCUGGUCUGAGGGGACGAUCAGCCACACUGGAACUGAGACACGGUCCAGACUCCUACGGGAGGCAGCAGUGGGGAAUCUUGCGCAAUGGGCGAAAGCCUGACGCAGCAACGCCGCGUGUGUGAUGAAGGUCUUCGGAUCGUAAAGCACUGUCGGGAGGGACGAAUAAGGGCCGGGUGAACAAUCCGGUUCGAUGACGGUACCUCCAAAGGAAGCACCGGCUAACUCUGUGCCAGCCGCCGCCGUAAAAC